CAAACCCACAGCAGCACUGUUUGCCAUUUAAUGUUGCUUUCUUUGUUUGCUCUAAAACGUAGUUCAUCUUGAAAAUGGACUAUAUUUAUUUGUUUAUUCACCAGUUUUUGUUUGCCUAGAUAGAGCGAAUGGAUAUAAACAAACAUUUGCAUGACCUCUUUUUCAGAUUUUUUCUUUCUGCCUAAUUCCCAGCUCUUUCCGGUCUGACUAGAGUCCUGAAUAUAAAGUAUGCUAGUUACUGCAGAGCUCCACAGAUAUGGGAACUUCAUAUUCCUAAUUGAUAAUGAAAUUCCAUAAAACAUAAAUCGUCUCUAGAGUUUAGCAAAAAUGGAGUAUUUAUCAUGUGAAAAGCAGUACUGGGGACUGGCCACUCCAAUAUGUGCACUGUUCACAAGAUGAGUUGCAACCUCCAACUUGACUAGCUUCAGACAACCCCUGCUACGCUUUCUGUACCUGUAAAUCCAUUGUUACCUGUUCUAGAAUUGAAUGCUGUACAAGAAGCAUGGCGGGGAGGCCUCAGGAAACCUACGGUCGUGGCUGAAGAUGAAGAGGGAAUCCUGUCUUACGUGACUGGAGCAGGAGGAAGAGUGGUGAAGCAGGAGAUGCUACGCACUGUUAACCAGUUCUUGUGAGAACUCACUAUCUCAAAACAGCAAGCGGGGAUAUCGGUCCUCGUGAUCCAAUCACAUCCCAUCAGGCCCUUCUAACAAUAUUGGGAAUUACAAGUUGACAGGAGAUUUGGCCAGGGACACAAAU
rnacentral:lncRNA from 1 species